AGCUCCAAUAGCGUAUAUUAAAGUUGCUGCAGUUAAAAAGCUCGUAGUUGGAUUUCUGGUUUGAUACAUUUUGCCGGCCACGGUUUCGUGUGUUAGUGCAUUAUGUUCUAGCCAUCCUUCCAAUUGCUGCCUACUUUUCUUCAUUGAUUGGUAGGUGGUAUUGGAUCUUUUACUUUGAAAAAAUUAGAGUGUUUCAAGCAGGCUUUAUGCUAUGAAUACAUUAGCAUGGAAUAAUAAUUUAGGACUUCGGUUCUAUUUUGUUGGUUUCUAGGACUGAAGUAAUGAUUGAUAGGGAUAGUUGGGGGUGCUAGUAUUCAGCGGCCAGAGGUGAAAUUCUCGGAUUCGCUGAAGACUAACUUAUGCGAAAGCAUUCACCAAGGAUGUCUUCU
rnacentral:rRNA from 1 species